UACGAGGGGGGCGAGCGUUGUUCGGAAUUAUCGGGCGUAAAGGGUAGGUAGGUGGUCUCAUUUGUCUUAUGUGAAAGCCUUGGGCUUAACUCAAGAAGUGCGUAAGAAACGGUGAGACUCGAGUCCUGGAGAGGGUCGUGGAAUUCCCGGUGUAGCGGUGAAAUGCGUAGAGAUCGGAAAGAACACCAACGGCGAAAGCACUCUGCUGGGCCGACACUGACACUGAGAGACGAAAGCUAGGGGAGCGAAUGGG
rnacentral:rRNA from 1 species